rnacentral:rRNA from 1 species
GACGAACGCUGGCGGCGUGCCUAAUACAUGCAAGUCGAGCGAAUCUGAUGGGAGCUUGCUCCUUGAUGAUUAGCGGCGGACGGGUGAGUAACACGUGGGUAACCUGCCUGUAAGACUGGGAUAACUCCGGGAAACCGGGGCUAAUACCGGAUAACUUUUUUCUUCGCAUGAGGGAGAAUUGAAAGAUGGCUUCGGCUAUCACUUACAGAUGGACCCGCGGCGCAUUAGCUAGUUGGUGAGGUAGCGGCUCACCAAGGCGACGAUGCGUAGCCGACUUGAGAGGGUGAUCGGCCACACUGGGACUGAGACACGGCCCAGACUCCUACGGGAGGCAGCAGUAGGGAAUCUUCCGCAAUGGGCGAAAGUCUGACGGAGCAACGCCGCGUGAGUGAUGAAGGUUUUCGGAUCGUAAAACUCUGUUGUUAGGGAAGAACAAGUAUCGGUCGAAUAGGGCGGUACCUUGAGGGUACCUAACCAGAAAGCCACGGCUAACUACGU